rnacentral:rRNA from 1 species
GUUGCUGGUUCUCUAGGGAGCAUGUGCACGCCUUGUCAUCUUUAUAUCUCCACCUGUGCACUUUUUGUAGACCUUUCAGGUCUAUGUUGCUUCAUUUACCCCCAAUGUAUGUUAAUAGAAUGUUGUGCCUAUAUAAUAUAUACAACUUUCAGCAACGGAUCUCUUGGCUCUCGCAUCGAUGAAGAACGCAGCGAAAUGCGAUAAGUAAUGUGAAUUGCAGAAUUCAGUGAAUCAUCGAAUCUUUGAACGCACCUUGCGCUCCUUGGUAUUCCGAGGAGCAUGCCUGUUUGAGUGUCAUUAAUAUAUAUAUCAAACCUCUCUUGUCGAGUGGUUUGGAUGUGGGGGUUUGCUGGCCUCUUAAAUGGUUCAGCUCCUCUGAAAUGCAUUAGCAGAACAACUCUGUUCAUUGGUGUGAUAACUAUCUACGCUAUUGAAUGUAAGGGGCAGUUCAGCUUUCUAACAGUCCUCGGACAAUUCAUCAUUAAUGUGACCUCAAAUCAGGUAGGACUACCCGCUGAACUUAAGCAUAUCAAUAAGCGGAGGAA